GUGGGGAAUCUUCCGCAAUGGACGAAAGUCUGACGGAGCAACGCCGCGUGAACGAUGACGGCCUUCGGGUUGUAAAGUUCUGUUAUACGGGACGAAUGGUACGACGGCCAAUACCCGUCGUAAGUGACGGUACCGUAAGAGAAAGCCACGGCUAACUACGUGCCAGCAGCCGCGGUAAUACGUAGGUGGCAAGCGUUGUCCGGAAUUAUUGGGCGUAAAGGGCGCACAGGCGGCGUCGUAAGUCGGUCUUAAAAGUGCGGGGCUUAACCCCGUGAGGGGACCGAAACUGCGAUGCUAGAGUAUCGGAGAGGAAAGCGGAAUUCCUAGUGUAGCGGUGAAAUGCGUAGAUAUUAGGAGGAACACCAGUGGCGAAAGCGGCUUUCUGGACGACAACUGACGCUGAGGCGCGAAAGCCAGGGGAGCAAACGGGAUUAGAUACCCGGGUAGUCC
rnacentral:rRNA from 1 species